AGNNGAUGAUGCAUAGCCGAGUUGAGAGACUGAUCGGCCACAAUGGGACUGAGACACGGCCCAUACUCCUACGGGAGGCAGCAGUAGGGAAUCUUCCACAAUGGGCGAAAGCCUGAUGGAGCAACGCCGCGUGUGUGAUGAAGGGUUUCGGCUCGUAAAACACUGUUGUAAGAGAAGAAUGACAUUGAGAGUAACUGUUCAAUGUGUGACGGUAUCUUACCAGAAAGGAACGGCUAAAUACGUGCCAGCAGCCGCGGUA
rnacentral:rRNA from 1 species